rnacentral:rRNA from 1 species
GACGAACGCUGGCGGCGCGCUUAACACAUGCAAGUCGAACGGAAAGGCCUGCUUUCCCUUGUGGAUUGCGGGUACUCGAGUGGCGAACGGGUGAGUAACACGUGAGUGAUCUGCCCCCAACUUGGGUAUAAGCCUGGGAAACUGGGUCUAAUUCCCGAUAGGACUGCAGGGUGGUGCCUGUGGUGGAAAACGAUUUUCUAGUGGUUGGGGAUGAGCUCGCGGCCUAUCAGCUUGUUGGUGGGGUAAUGGCCUACCAAGGCGGCGACGGGUAGCCGGCCUGGGAGGGUGGACGGCCACAUUGGGACUGGGAUACGGCCCCGACGCCUACGGGAGGCAGCAGUGGGGAAUAUUGCACAAUGGGCGGAAGCCUGAUGCAGCGACGCCGCGUGGGGGAUGACGGCCUUCGGGUUGUAAACUCCUUUCGACCGCGAGGAAGCCACCUGGUUGGAAGGGUGGUGACGGUAGUGGUAGAAGAAGCACCGGCUAACUACGUG